rnacentral:rRNA from 1 species
CGACGUCGAUGUCGACUUGGAGGUUGUGCCCUUGAGGCGUGGCUUCCGGAGCUAACGCGUUAAGUCGCACCGCCUGGGGAGUACGGCCGCAAGGUUAAAACUCAAAUGAAUUGACGGGGGCCCGCACAAGCGGUGGAGCAUGUGGUUUAAUUCGAUGCAACGCGAAGAACCUUACCUGGUCUUGACAUCCACGGAAGUUUUCAGAGAUGAGAAUGUGCCUUCGGGAACCGUGAGACAGGUGCUGCAUGGCUGUCGUCAGCUCGUGUUGUGAAAUGUUGGGUUAAGUCCCGCAACGAGCGCAACCCUUAUCCUUUGUUGCCAGCGGUCCGGCCGGGAACUCAAAGGAGACUGCCAGUGAUAAACUGGAGGAAGGUGGGGAUGACGUCAAGUCAUCAUGGCCCUUACGACCAGGGCUACACACGUGCUACAAUGGCGCAUACAAAGAGAAGCGACCUCGCGAGAGCAAGCGGACCUCAUAAAGUGCGUCGUAGUCCGGAUUGGAGUCUGCAACUCGACUCCAUGAAGUCGGAAUCGCUAGUAAUCGUGGAUCAGAAUGCCACGGUGAAUACGUUCCCGGGCCUUGUACACACCGCCCGUCACACCAUGGGAGUGGGUUGCAAAAGAAGUAGGUAGCUUAACCUUCGGGAGGGCGCUUACCACUUUGUGAUUCAUGACUGGGGUGAAGUCGUACAAAGGGAAACCGGAAGAG